rnacentral:rRNA from 1 species
GCGUGGGAAUCUACCCAGUAGUGGGGACAACAGUUGGAAACGACUGCUAAUACCGCAUAAUGUCUACGGACCAAAGGAGGGGAUCUUCGGACCUUUCGCCUUUAGAUUAGCCCAAGUGAGAUUAGCUAGUUGGUGGGGUAAUGGCCUACCAAGGCGACGAUCUCUAGCUGGUUUGAGAGGAUGAUCAGCCACACUGGAACUGAGACACGGUCCAGACUCCUACGGGAGGCAGCAGUGGGGAAUAUUGCACAAUGGGGGAAACCCUGAUGCAGCCAUGCCGCGUGUGUGAAGAAGGCUUUC